ensembl:lncRNA
CUCUCAGUUAAGUGCUGUAUCUGGUUUGUUUUCUACAGCAUCCCAAAACUGACAGUGCUUGUCACCACAUGCGUGCUAAAAAUAGUGAAAAUCACUGAAUUUUGUGUUCAACACAUAUACACAGAGCUAGUUUCAGGCUAGUUUUAUUGAAUUUGUUGUUGUUUAGUUGCUAAGUCACGUCCAACUCUUUGCGACCCCACCGGGCUCCUCUACCCAUGGAAUUUGCCAGGCAAAAAUACUGGAGUGGGUUGCCAUUUCCUUUUCCAGUGGAUCUUUCCGACCCAGGGAUUGAACCUGUGUCUCCUGCAUUGUAAGCAGAUUCUUUAUCACUGAGCCACCACGGAAGCCCAUUUCUUCCAAGUGAAUUUUGUUUUUUCAAUACACACACACAGAGCUAGUUUUAGGCCAGUUUUAUUGAAUUUACCUGAAGUGGAGUAGCAAAUAUUUCGAGAUAACUUAAGAAUUAGGGAGGAUUGAGGAGAAGGAAAUGGCAACCCACUCCAGUAUUCUUGCCUGGAGAAUCCCAUAGACAGAGGAGCCUGGCAGGCUACAGUCCAUGGGGUCGCAAGAGUCGGACACGACUUAGUGCACUGUCUCACCCCAGAGAUCCUGCCACAUAUACCACAAAAACCAAACAUCCCCCAGUGACCUUGGCCCCACUGUUCCAAUCACUCCCAGGUGGGAAUUCAGGCACAUGUCCACAGAGGUCACAGACAACAUACAUACGGUGCUGUUAUGUCCCAUAUAUUACCCUUUCAUGUCCCAAGGAAGACAUUUUCUCUUAGAGAUUUUCAUUUAGUGUAUCUUUAAAAAAAUCUUGUGUUAAACUUGCCUCCAUCUUUUUCUUGGGUAAGGACAACCCAGAAAUGGCCCUUUUGUGUCUGUGAUGUUGCCAUUCACAGCUUUCUUGAUAGGCCUAGUACAAUCUUGAGAACAGGGUUGCUGUAUGCUGAGUGUCAGACGAUAGCUCUUAGCUUUGCCUAUCUUAGGUAGUUAUGCUGUGCAUUUUUUAUUGGUGUACCAUGUUUCAUUUGUCCCUAAUACCUUUGAAGUUUUUCUGAGAAAUGAAUAAUGCAACAUGAACUUAUUAAAAUACAUUUUAAGCCUUAAAAAAAAAAAAAGACUUAGGGAGGAUUGAACUCUAGGGAAAUUGUAUAGAGUGGCAACAGAUUUUUGAAAAGUUUCAUUUUGGAGAGAGAAGAGGAAAGAAAAUAAGAAACACUUAAGAGAAAGAACAGAGCUUAUGGAAAUCUCUUUAAGCUGAAUGGGCCAAGCUGAUUAUUUAGCCUUCUAAUUAAACCCAGAAUCUAUUCCCCAUAUUGUACAAUAUAUCCUUAUAACUUAUUUUAUACCUAACAGUCCGUACCUCUUACUCCCCUACCCCUAUACUGCCCCUCCCAUCUAUGCCAG